rnacentral:rRNA from 1 species
UCCACGCAGUAAACGAUGAAUGUUAGUCGUCGGGGGCCUAGUGUCUACGGUGAUGCAGCUAACGCAUUAAACAUUCCGCCUGGGGAGUACGGUCGCAAGAUUAAAACUCAAAGGAAUAGACGGGGACCCGCACAAGUGGUGGAGCAUGUGGUUUAAUUCGAAAAUACGCGAAGAACCUUACCUAGCCUUGACAUAUUUUAGAACUCCGUAGAGAUACAGAGGUGCCUUCGGGAGCUAAUUUACAGGUGCUGCACGGCUGUCGUCAGCUCGUGUCGUGAGUUGGUUAGGUACCGCCACGAGCG